rnacentral:rRNA from 1 species
CAAGAUUCCGGGCCCUACGGGGCGCAGCAGGCGCGAAACCUUUACACUGUACGCAAGUGCGAUAAGGGGACUCCGAGUGUGAAGGCAUAGAGCCUUCACUUUUGUACACCGUAAGGUGGUGUACGAAUAAGGGCUGGGCAAGACCGGUGCCAGCCGCCGCGGUAAUACCGGCAGCCCGAGUGAUGGCCGAUAUUAUUGGGCCUAAAGCGUCCGUAGCUGGCCGGACAAGUCCGUUGGGAAAUCUGUUCGCUUAACGAGCAGGCGUCCAGCGGAAACUGUUCGGCUUGGGACCGGAAGACCUGAGGGGUACGUCCGGGGUAGGAGUGAAAUCCUGUAAUCCUGGACGGACCACCGGUGGCGAAAGCGCCUCAGGAGGACGGAUCCGACAGUGAGGGACGAAAGCUAGGGUCUCGAACCGGAUUAGAUACCCGGGUAGUCCUAGCUGUAAACGAUGCCCGCUAGGUGUGGCGCAGGCUACGAGCCUGCGCUGUGCCGUAGGGAAGCCGAGAAGCGGGCCGCCUGGGAAGUACGUCUGCAAGGAUGAAACUUAAAGGAAUUGGCGGGGGAGCACUACAACCGGAGGAGCCUGCGGUUUAAUUGGACUCAACGCCGGACAUCUCACCAGCUCCGACAGUAGUAAUGACGGUCAGGUUGAUGACCUUACCCGAUGCUACUGAGAGGAGGUGCAUGGCCGCCGUCAGCUCGUACCGUGAGGCGUCCUGUUAAGUCAGGCAACGAGCGAGACCCGCACUCCUAAUUGCCAGCAGUACCCUUUGGGUAGCUGGGUACAUUAGGUGGACUGCCGCUGCUAAAGCGGAGGAAGGAACGGGCAACGGUAGGUCAGUAUGCCCCGAAUGAGCUGGGCAACACGCGGGCUACAAUGGUCGAGACAAUGGGAUGCAACUCCGAGAGGAGGCGCUAAUCUCCUAAACUCGAUCGUAGUUCGGAUUGAGGGCUGAAACUCGCCCUCAUGAAGCUGGAUUCGGUAGUAAUCGCGUGUCAGAAG